GGAUCAAUAUGUUGGUCGUGCCUCGGUACGUACUAGCUUAUUGGUUUCUUCCUUCUGACGAACCAUAAUGUCAUUUAUUUGGUGUUAUGGGGAAUCAGGACUGUUACUUUGAAAAUUAGAGUGUUUAAAGCAGGCUCACGCUUGAAUACAUUAGCAUGGAAUAAUGAAAUAGGACGUUUGAUUCUAUUUUGUUGGUUUCUAGGAUCGACGUAAUGAUUAAUA
rnacentral:rRNA from 1 species